rnacentral:rRNA from 1 species
CCGUACCUCAUAUGGGGGAUAACAGUCGGAAACGACUGCUAAUACCGCAUAGGACAUAGGAUCACACGAUCCAGUGAGGAAAGGUGGCGCAAGCUAUCGCUAAGAGAUGGACCCGCGGUGCAUUAGCUAGUUGGUAGGGUAAAGGCCUACCAAGGCGAUGAUGCAUAGCCGACCUGAGAGGGUGAUCGGCCACAUUGGGACUGAGACACGGCCCAA